rnacentral:rRNA from 1 species
ANACGCUGGCGGCGUGGAUUANGCAUGCAAGUCGUACGAGAAAGCGGUUUUUAAUCGCGAGUACAGUGGCGAACGGGUGAGUAACACGUGGGAAACCUGCCCUCGAGCGGGGGAUAACAUUCCUAACGGGAUGCUAAUACCGCAUAACAUCACAGGUCGCAUGAACUGUGAUCAAAGGUGGCCUCUGCUUGCAAGCUGUCGCUUGAGGAUGGUCCCGCGUCCCAUUAGCUAGUUGGUAGGGUAACGGCCUACCAAGGCGACGAUGGGUAGCCGGCCUGAGAGGGUGACCGGCCACACUGGGACUGAGAUACGGCCCAGACUCCUACGGGAGGCAGCAGUCGAGAGGCUUCGGCAAUGGGGGAAACCCUGACCGAGCGACGCCGCGUGGACGAUGAAGUUCUUCGGAAUGUAAAGUCCUGUCAUACGGGAUGAAUAAGCUUGGGAGGAAAUGCCUGGGUGAUGACGUUAGCGUAGGAAUAAGCCCCGGCUAAUUACGUGCCAGCAGCCGCGGUAACACGUAUGGGGCGAGCGUUGUUCGGAAUUAUUGGGCGUAAAGGGCGCGUAGGCGGUCCUGCAAGCUUGGUGUGUAAGCCCACAGCUCAACUGUGGAGUCGCGCUGAGAACUGCAGGACUUGAGUUCUGGAGGGGAAGCUGGAAUUCCUGGUGUAGGGGUGAAAUCUGUAGAUAUCAGGAAGAACAUCCAGUGGCGAAGGCGAGCUUCUGGCCAAGAACUGACGCUGANGCGCGAAAGCGUGGGGAGCGAACAGGAUUAGAUACCCUGGUAGUCCACGCCGUAAACGAUGAUCACUAGCUGUAUGCG